GUCGACCGCCUGGGGAGUACGGCCGCAAGGUUAAAACUCAAAUGAAUUGACGGGGGCCCGCACAAGCGGUGGAGCAUGUGGUUUAAUUCGAUGCAACGCGAAGAACCUUACCUACUCUUGACAUCCACGGAAUUUGGCAGAGAUGCCUUAGUGCCUUCGGGAACCGUGAGACAGGUGCUGCAUGGCUGUCGUCAGCUCGUGUUGUGAAAUGUUGGGUUAAGUCCCGCAACGAGCGCAACCCUUAUCCUUUGUUGCCAGCGAUUAGGUCGGGAACUCAAAGGAGACUGCCAGUGAUAAACUGGAGGAAGGUGGGGAUGACGUCAAGUCAUCAUGGCCCUUACGAGUAGGGCUACACACGUGCUACAAUGGCAUAUACAAAGAGAAGCGACCUCGCGAGAGCAAGCGGACCUCAUAAAGUAUGUCGUAGUCCGGAUUGGAGUCUGCAACUCGACUCCAUGAAGUCGGAAUCGCUAGUAAUCGUGGAUCAGAAUGCCACGGUGAAUACGUUCCCGGGCCUUGUACACACCGCCCGUCACACCAUGGGAGUGGGUUGCAAAAGAAGUAGGUAGCUUAACCUUCGGGAGGGCGCUUACCACUUUGUGAUUCAUGACUGGGGUGAAGUCGUAACAAGGUAACCGUAGGGGAACCUGCGGUUGGAUCACCUCCUUACCUGAAAGAA
rnacentral:rRNA from 1 species